UACAGGAGGGUGCAAGCGUUAAUCGGAAUUACUGGGCGUAAAGCGUGCGUAGACGGUAGCGUAAGUCGGGUGUGAAAGCCCCGGGCUCAACCUGGGAAUUGCAUUCGAGACUGCUCUGCUAGGGUGCGGAAGAGGGAAGCGGAAUUUCCGGUGUAGCGGUGAAAUGCGUAGAUAUCGGAAGGAACACCAGUGGCGAAAGCGGCUUCCUGGUCCAGCACCGACGUCAGGCACGAAAGUCGUGGGGAGCAAACAGG
rnacentral:rRNA from 1 species